ACAUAGGGCAUUUUGUCUUUAAGUAGAGAGAAAUUGCUCUAAAGAAAUGAAUCCAAGGUAGUUUUCCCAUCAAGUGUCUCUGC
rnacentral:pre_miRNA from 1 species